rnacentral:rRNA from 1 species
AGAGUUUGAUCCUGGCUCAGAACGAACGCUGGCGGCGUGGAUAAGACAUGCAAGUCGAGCGCUGAUUACAGGGUAGCAAUAUUCUGUGGUCGGAGCGGCGCAAGGGUGCGUAACACGUGGGUAAUCUGCCAUGAAGUUUGGGAUAACUUGCUGAAAGGCGUGCUAAUACCGGAUGUGACAACUGGAAGGCAUCUUUUGGUUGUCAAAGUUGGGGACCGUAAGGCCUGACGCUUCAUGAUGAGCCCGCGGCCUAUCAGCUAGUUGGUGAGGUAACGGCUCACCAAGGCUAAGACGGGUAGCUGGUCUGAGAGGACGACCAGCCACACUGGAACUGAGACACGGUCCAGACACCUACGGGUGGCAGCAGUCGAGAAUUUUUCACAAUGGGCGCAAGCCUGAUGGAGCGACGCCGCGUGGGGGAUGAAUGGCUUCGGCCCGUAAACCCCUGUCAUUUGCGAUCAACCGUUAUUAUUUAAAAGAUGAUGACCUGAUAGUAGCGAAAGAGGAAGGGACGGCUAACUCUGUGCCAGCAGCCGCGGUAAUACAGAGGUCCCGAGCGUUGUUCGGAUUCACUGGGCGUAAAGGGUGCGUAGGUGGUGAGGUAAGUCGGAUGUGAAAGCUCGGAGCUCAACUCCGAAAUGGCAUUGGAAACUACCUUGCUCGAGGGUUGGAAGGGGGACUGGAAUGCUUGGUGUAGCAGUGAAAUGCGUAGAUAUCAAGCGGAACACCAGUGGCGAAGGCGAGUCCCUGGACAACUCCUGACACUGAGGCACGAAAGCUAGGGGAGCAAACAGGAUUAGAUACCCUAGUAGUCC